ACGUCACUCGCUUUGGAGGCGGGCUCAGCAAGCGGCGCUCCACCGCCAUUGGUCGGGAGCCCUGCAGUAACCAGGGGAACUGCAAACAGUGUAGGGGCAGCUUCCGGUUCGAGCACCCGUAACCGCCGUAACCGCCGCCUUUAAGGAUGGACGAGAUCGGUGCAGAUCCGAACAGAAGCCGGCUCGAGGCUCCACAUCGAACCCCCCGGGGACUACUCGGAAGAUUUUGAGUCGACUGAGGAUGCCGAUGCCAAGACCAUGGAUGUUUCUGGGGAUCGUCCACAGGAGCUGAGAAGAAGCCUGGAACUCAGUGCAAACGCACAGAGGAGACAGGGGGAUUGUCCCAGCAAUGACUAGGACUCUAUCGAAGAAGACGUCACCUCUGAGCCCGAGCCUGAGCCCGAGGGCUGUCCUGGAGGUGACUGCCCUCUGUCCACUGGGGACAAGGAUGCUCCUGAGGACCGGGAGGCAGGUGGACGUCCCCCGCAGGGCCCGGACACCCUCGUCGUGCUGGAAUUUAACCCCGCUUCUCAAAGUGAGUUCUGUCUUCCGUGGCAUUUCGUUGCCUGUGGCGUCGCUGGUUCUAGCAGGAGGGCUUCGGCUUGCAACGCUGUUUUGAGUUGCGCUUCCAGGGUGGAGUUGUCCAUCAGGUCCCUGUUGACUAUGGAAGGAAGACUCCUGGAUGCUUCCUGAGGCGCCUGAAACUCCAGGUGGCAAAUGUCUGGCGAGUACUCGCGGGCGCCGUCCCAAGCCUUGGAGGGAGUGUGGCCGUGUCUCCCUUCCAGUUGGCUCACGCCGGGAAGUUAAGCCAAGGGGACUGUUGCUGGCUCAGAUGACAGUAGGGCUCGUUUCUCUUCUCUUUUUUGGUGCAAAAAAAAAAAAAAAAAAAGCAUUGAAAUCUACACACAAUUUUUUUUUAUAAUAUGCAUUUUCAGUGAACUUUCUCAUGAUCCCUUGUAUGCACUGAUUUCAAAAUGAUCUGCUCCUUUAAUGCCAUUUUCCAUGAAGAUUUUGGGGUUCCCUUCACACUUAAUAAAUGGUAAAGACUCA